UCCCUGAUAGCUCAACUGGUAAAGAAUUUGCCUGCAAUGCAAGAGACCCCGGUUCAAUUCCUGGGUCGGGAA
rfam:TPA: Bos taurus chromosome 17, whole genome shotgun sequence.